CUUCUUCUUCUUCCUCUCUCUCCUACCUUUGCUUAUCUCUGCUUCAAACCCAGACUCCGCGCCGCUCUUAGCCUUCAAGGCCACGUCGGACGCCUCCAACCUUCUCGCCACGUGGAACUCCACCUCCGACCCCUGCAACUUCGCCGGAGUCUCCUGCACCCGCAACCGCGUCUCCCGCCUCGACCUCCGCGGCUCCUUCGCCGCGUUAACCGGGCUGACUCAGCUUCGAGUUCUCAGCCUGAAGCGUAACCGUCUCUCCGGCCCCAUUCCCGACCUCUCUAACCUCACCUCCCUCAAGCUCCUCUUCCUCUCCUACAACGACUUCUCCGGCGAGUUUCCCGCCUCCCUGACGUCACUCUUCCGCCUUUACCGCCUCGAUCUGGCGUACAACAACUUGACCGGUGAUAUUCCCGACAAGGUCAACCAUUUGACUCACCUCCUCACUCUCCGCCUCGAAGCCAACCGAUUCUCCGGCUCGAUUUCCGGCCUCAACCUCCCGAAUCUCCAGGAGUUCAGCGUGGCCGUUACAUCAACAAGAGUUCUAACUUUCGAAUGAUGAUCAGGCCCGCUCACCUGCGGGACUCUAUUUACGGGACAAAACAAGACAGAUGGCUUAUAGCCAUUAGAUUUAAAUGAAACAGAUCGACGGCUGAAAGGAUCUUCACAAAACAUUCUUUGAAUCUCCACGACCCGCACCCAAUUCGGUGCCCAUCUUCAAGCCUAAUCAUUAACAUGGUCUUCUGUUCAUCAUUCCAACCCAGAUUGCAAACCCAUAUCAUCUUCUCCUCGUCAAAACAUCUUAUUUGGGGAAGGAAAACCCGAUACAUAUAUAUAUAUAUAUCAGAUGAAUCAUGAAUCUUGCCUCAGAUACACAAACACCACAAAAAACUACCGUUAGAUUUCGUUAGGAGGAUUUGGCCGCCACCACUAAAGCCGCCGCGACAACCUCCACUAACGGCUUGACUCUCUUUAUACCCAAUUUGAUCUUUCUAUCUAUAUUUAAUCCCACAAUCGAAGUAUGCAGCCUUUUAAAUUGCAAAAUUAGGAAUCUUUAGUUGAAGGAGGAUAGGAGGAAUUGAUGGGGUUUGGUCGGGGUAGAGAUUGGGAUUGGGUGGAUACAGGUAAACUCUUACUUUUCUCUUUUCCUUCUUCCCCAUCUCUUCCUCUCUAACUCUUGUUGCUUAAUUGAAAAUUCAUCCAGCAAAUUCAAUAUCAAGUAGAGAAUCAAACUAGAGAAUUGAGAACUGUUGGAUCUUUAUUGUUCAAAUCGAAGAAACCUCAAAGAAUCAGACAACAUAAUUUUCAAAUAAAAAAAGCAACAAUCUUGGAUAUUUGUAGAUGAGAAAAGAAUGAACCAUGAUUUUUCCUCAACCCAGAAUACAGAAGGUUAUAGAAAUCCUGGAUAGCAUAUACAGGGAGAGAAGGAAGAAAAGGAGAGCGAGCAAGUGAGCAACGAAGGUUGAAGAUGGGCACCGAAUUGGGUGUGGGUCGUGGAGAUUUGUCAAGAUCCUUUCAGCUGUAUGAUCUGUUUCAUUUAAAUCUAAUGGCUAUAAGCCAUCUAUCCCGUUUUAUCCCUUAAAUUUUAGUCCCGCAGGUGAGCGGGCCUGAUAUGAUGAUUACUUUUAAAAAAACAUAUCCGACUUAUUACAAAUACGUGUCCCACCGUAUCAUACCGUAUAUUUCUGUAUUCUGAUAUAUCUCGAGAACACAUUUUUAACCUACAAGGCAUCUUGUACACGCUGGUACGGCCGGAAACAGUGGGAAACGGUUUUAUAUGACGCGAUACGUGUCCGAUAAGGCUGGAUACGAAUCCGUAAAUACAUAGUAUAUGCGGGGCAAUAAGGGCAAUUCGACCAUAGUGUUUUGCAGGAAUAAGAAAAGCGCGCGACGACCUGAGUGACAAGUUGGGAAGCCGCCAUGGCAGCGGAGAAGGCUGAAGACGUAGCGAUUACAGAGGCAGCUCGGCGUGGCCGUUACAUCAACAAGAGGACGAAAGGCCGUCGCCGUCACCUUCAACGAGAAAGGUCUGAGGUACCCACCUUUCAAAAUUCAAACUAAGCCCUGAAAUUGGGUUUUGAACUAGGCUUUGGUUUGUGAAGCUACUUUGUCUCUGGGUUGCACAAGAGGAAGAAUAAGAGGAAUCUAAAUGCUAAGCCUAAGCUUGUUUGUUAGUGUUCGGCUGUGAUUUGUGAACAUAGAACGGGAGCGAAUAGUCGUGCUUAGAAAUGUACAAGUCAAUUUGACAAAUAAUGUAAGAAUAGUAUUAGGAAUUGAAGAAGAAUUGGUACUUAGAACAUAGUCUGAUUUAUGCCUAGUCCAGCUCCAGAGUGUUCAGUCUUUGAGGUCCCUGUUCUUCAUGGUUCAAACUUGCUACAAAAGCAUUGAACUUUCUAUGAGCUCUUCCUGGUCCUACUUGUAUACUUUUCUCAGGUAUUGUUGAGGUUAUGAUAACAGUUUAGCAACUUUAGUUCAUGAUAUACGAACUUAAUACGAGAAUGAAAUCUAGAUAUUUAUGCAGGCUAGCUAAUCUCAAUGGAGAAUAUAUGUUGUCUUGUAUCGUUGAAUGAAGAGUCAGAACCUCAAGUCUUUGCAUUGCUGGUCAAUUGAGAACAUGAGACGGAAAGCACCUCAUCCAAUCAAAGUUUCCAAGUAUAUUCUCUCUCCUAUUUCCAAGACGCUAGCUAGCUAGCAUAUUACCAAAUUUACUUAUCAAUAACAAGCUGAGAAAACUCUUACAACAGUUUUGUAGUGGUUGUUGUUCAGCUCGGAUUCCUGGGAACUCCUGGAUGGCUCCAAUCACUUUGUUUAUUUCAUUUCUUCUCACUAAUCUUGCUGUUCUUCACUCUGCUGAAGAACAGAGAAUCAACAAAAGUUGUCCGCCUUACUUCUGUAAUGAUGUAAUAGGCAACAUCUCUUUCCCCUUCAGAUAUGAGGAACAAUCUCGUGAAUGCGGAUUGUAUCCUGUUGAUUGCUCUGAAGGCUUUCCGAGGAUCCAACUCAAAGAGGGAGGAUAUUGGCAUGAAUUUACAAGCAUCUCUGAGUCGAAUAAUAUUUCGAUGAUCAUCAACAAAGAGCUUAAGCAGCGCUUAGAAAGUAUUCCUUGCGAUGAUGAAAGCUUCGAGGAUUUAAGUCUUCCCAGCCCGACUCCAAUAUCUAAUGUAUCCACUACACACAACCUGACCCUGUUUAAAUGCAGCAACACAACUUUUUCAACGGAUUUCAAACUCGCCUGCAGCAGUACUUCCAAUCCUUACAAUUAUUAUACUUCUUCCAUGUACGUACCAAGUCCUCCGCCAGACUGUUCAGCUGUUUGGCUACCCCGUCUCCCGGGUUGGAAUAUUUCGAAUCAACCUCACCCUAUCCUCACUGCUAACUUCACCCUGCAAGUGACAGUAUCCGAACAAUGUUAUGAAUGCUAUUCUAGAGGAGGUUUAUGCCAGGCAUACGGCGGAGAAUUUACUUGUUCACCUACACCAAAAGGUACUCAAUCCAUCUCGUACUAGUUCACUUCCUUUAAAGUCUCAUCUCACAAUAUUGCAUCCAGUGUAUCAUGGUCGUUCUUGUGGAGAAUUUUUGAAUUAGAUGGGAUGAAAACUAAUGAAGCUAAGAUGUAAAGUGGCCUUUUGUAAUAUCUUAUAAGCUGUGAACAAGAUAACUAGGUUGUUGGGCUGAUAAGUGUAGGUUAAUUUUGUGUUCCCAUAGGACAGUGCGUCCAUGAAAAUCAGUUUUUCAAUGUUUAAUGUAGAAGGUACAUGCCAGUUCAGAAAGGAAAAUCUUGAUUUGGCUUUUUUAAUAUAGCACUGUGCAUCAUCUUUAGUCUCUUGAGGAUUCCAACUUUAUCUGUGCCACUUCAGCCUUCUUUGCUUUGGCUAACACCAUUUUUCUUAGCAGAAGGAGGACACUUGAGAUUGAAGCUGGCACUAGGACUAGGUAAGAUCUUUAGCUCAUUAAUUGAUCGAAUAUAUAAUUCAGUUAUCAAUUAUACAUGUAAAUAACUUGUGGUAGAAGUGUUACUUGUGGAAGAAGUGUUUAAUCUCAUGAAAGCAAAAGAGAGAUUCCCACAAGCCCCAACAAAGGAUUAAGUUUCUCAAGUAUAUCCUUGAAUGUUUUUGUUAAUGGUGUGAGACUUUGAGCAUUACCAAAACCUUUUCAGAAAGCUAGCUAGUUUGUAUUUUUUAUAGAUCUUUCAUUGCAUAAAUUUGUGAUUUUUUUUUUCUUUGAUCAGCCGGUGGAGUAGUUGGUCUCCUGGUCCUAGUACUGGUUGUGGCACUUUGCUGCUUGAUGAGAAAGUUAUCAACUUCUAGAUCUAUUUUCUUUUGGAAGAAGAAAAACCAAAGUCGUAAAAAUCUGGAGGCCUUUCUAUCAAACUAUGGGCCACUUCAAGCUAACAGAUACAGCUAUUUGGAUGUUAAGAAGAUGACCAAUUCGUUCGAAGAAAAAUUAGGACAGGGGGGUUAUGGCGAUGUCUAUAAAGGAAAAUUAAAGGGCGGCUCUCUGGUAGCAGUAAAGGUCUUAAACAGAUCAAAGGGUAAUGGAGAGGACUUUAUCGCUGAAGUUGCAGCCAUCAGUAGAACUUCCCAUGUCAACAUUGUCAGCUUGUUGGGGUUUUGUUUUGAGGGUUCAAAAAGAGCACUCAUUUAUGAGUUCAUGCCUAAUGGAUCUCUGGAGAAGUUCAUAUUUGAUGCAAAUAACCCACAAAAGGAUCAUCACUUGGGAUGGGAAGCACUGGAACAAAUUUCAUUUGGCAUUGCUCGAGGCCUAGAGUACUUGCACCGUGGCUGCAACACAAGAAUUUUGCAUUUUGACAUCAAGCCUCAUAACAUUCUUCUUGAUGAGAACUUCUCGCCAAAGAUCUCUGAUUUUGGCCUUGCCAAAAUAUGUGACAGGAAAGAGAGUAUUGUAUCAAUGUUGUAUGCAAGAGGUACGGCUGGAUACAUCGCUCCAGAGGUGUUCUGUAGAAGUUUUGGAGGGGUCUCACACAAAUCGGAUGUGUACAGCUACGGAAUGAUGCUUUCAGAGAUGGCUGGGGGAAGAAGGAACAUCAAUGUUGAAGCUGAAAAGACUAGUGAGAUAUACUUUCCACACUGGAUUUACAAGCGCCUUGACCUGGACGAGGAGCUUGGCCUGCAUGGUAUCAAAAGUGAGGAAGACAAAGCCAGAGCAAGAAAGUUGAUAAUAGUAAGCUUGUGGUGCAUACAGACUGAUCCCUCAAACCGACCAGCGAUGAAAGAAGUGAUAGAAAUGCUGGAAGGGAGUGUGGAGUCCUUGAAGAUACCACCCAAGCCCUACUUGUCUUCUCCUGCAAAAUCUCCUGCAGUGGCAGAUUCUUCUAGUACAUUGGUAUCAAUACAUUAAGAACUCUGCACUUUACUAGUAACAUUCGAUGUAUUUUAUUCGUCAUGUCUCAUUUCUGGAUCCACUGUGGACUGUACGAAUUACAAUGGAUGAAAAUGAAUUUGCAUUCAUUCUAGUUCAAGAUGACCUUCAGAUCUGAAUGGCAUCUUUUGCAGCUAUAUUCAUUUCAGAUUUCACUGUGCCAAAGCAGGUUAAUGCAUUGAAAUUUGUGUUUGUAACUUUGUACUACUCGCAUGUCUUUUCAUCUGGAUAUUGAAGUUUACACUGGGAGCAGGUAAAGAAUCCAAGCUAAAACCAAGCCUCUUUUAGUGGUUAUUGAUCUUAGUUGUUACUAACUUACUAGUCAUGCUUUGCAGUUUGAACGAUGAAUAAUAACGAGUCAAAGAGAACGACAAUUCGUAUAAGAAGUUGUGAGGACGAAGCAUUUACAUUUUCUUUGGUGUGCUAUGAAUAUAAUGCAUUUAAUAGGAUUUGGUAUAUGAAGCGGUAGUUCUUCAAUCUUCAUAGAUCGAAACCCCUCAAACUCCUGAGUCUCCUGACGCUUCUUCUAUUCAACUUUGAAUUAGGGCAUCACCAAAACAAAAAUAACACAAUUUGAAUUAGGGCUAUGUCAGAGUCAGACUACCUACCAGAAGGAAUCGUAGAGAAAAUCCUUCUCAAGUUGCCCGUCAAAUGAGUAAUCAAAUGCAGCGCAGUGAGCAAGUCAUGGAGGUCUCUGAUCAAAAGCUCCGACUUCAUUCAGACCCACCUCAGCCUCACCUCACCCUCCAACCACCACAAAGAUGAACACCUUCUUCUGCCCAAGUCUUCCACCUGGAGAGAUGUUAGUUUGUCUUUGCAUUGGGAUAACCUUUUGGUGGGGAAGUAUGCUCCGAUUGUAAGUCUCUUUAUAUUUCAUAUCAGAUUACACUGUCCACCCAGACUACCCUGGACGUUACAUUACUGGGAAAACUAAAAUCAUUGGCACUUGUAACGGUCUCAUAUGCCUUGCUGAUAGAUGAAAAUAGUCCGCCCAAAGUAAUUUGGAACCCAUCUAUCAGGAAGUUUGUGGUUUUACCUAGACCAUCUAUCAACUUAACAUACGCCCCGUUUAAAAACGACAGAGUAAUAUAUGCAUUUGGUUAUGAUUCACAUGCCAAUGACUAUAAGAUUGUGAGAAUUGGUAGAUGUUUUUUUCUUAACGCCGAGUGAGGUUGAGGUUUACUCAUUUGCCAUGAGAUCCUGGAAGAGACUUAGUGCUGCUUAGAUUCCUCUAGACUUCAAGCUUCGCUCUGGACAAGCUUACGCUUUUGUUAAUGGUGCAGUGCAUUGGGUAUCUCAACUUUAUAGGUAUUUUAAAAAGGACAAUCUCAUUGUUUGGUUUGAUAUGGCGGGUGAAGCAUUUGGCCAGAUAUUGUUGCCUGAAGCAUUGAGAAGACACUGUUGCCAUAUUUCAAGAUACCGGGAGUCGCUUGCAUUUGGCUGGAAAUCUGUAGGGGAAUACAGAUCUAGUUAUGGGUUGGAGGUGUGGAUCAUGGCAGUGUAUGGUGUAACGGAGUCCUGGACUAAAUUGUUCAAUAUACAUCUACACGGACUUGAUGAGUACGAGCCGCUUGCAUGGGUCUAUAUAAGAAGAAAUGGGGAAAUAUUGCUUAAUAGGGAGAAUAAACGAGGGCUCAUCAUAUCAGUGGACAUUAGGAGCAGACAAGUUGAAGUAAUCUUGCAGGAGUGUAAAUUUACUGUAGUUCAUAAUCUCAAGUACAGACUUGGCAUAUGAGAAUGAAAAUAUUGAUAUUCCUGCAAGCUAGCUCUUCUGAGUGGACUUCAUUGUUUGAAGAGUCAAAAACCUCAAGUCUUUCUGAUGCUGGUCAAUGGUGAACAUGAGAAGGAAACUACCUCAUCCAAUCAAAAGUUCCAACUAUUCUCUCUUCAAUUUCCAAAAGUACUAGCCAGCAUAUUACCAAACAAGAGGGACUAACAAGAGAUAACUCUUCUUCAGCUGUUUGUUGCGGUUUUUGUUCAGCUGAGAAUUCUUGGAUGGCUCCAGUCACUUUGUUUAUUUCAUUUCUUCUCACUAAUCUUGCUGUUCUUCAUUCUGGUCAAGAAGAUAGAAUCAACAAACGUUGUCCACCCUACUUCUGUGAUCAAAUAGGAAACAUCUCUUUCCCCUUCAAAUAUAAGGAAUAUCCUCCUGAAUGUGGAUUGUAUUCUGUUGAUUGUCCUAAAGGGCGUCCUCCGAGGAUCCAACUCAAAGAGGGAGGAUACUGGCAUGAAUUUACAAGCAUCUCUGAGUCGAAUAAUAUUUCAAUCGUCAUCAACAAAGACCUUAAGCAGCGGUUAGAAAGUAAGCCUUGCGAUGAUCAAAGCUUGGAGGAUUUAAGUCUUCCAAACCCGUCUCCAAUAUCUGAUGUAUCCGCUACACGCAAUCUGAUCCUCUUCAAAUGCAGCAACACCCUGAAGUCCUGAACACAACUUUCUCAACGGAUUUCAGGCUCGCCUGCAGCAGUACGGCCCAUCCUUACCAUUAUUAUAUUACCUCUAUUACUUCUUCCAAGUACAUACCAAGUCCUCCGCCAGAGUACUGUUCAGUUGUUUGGCUGCCCUUUCUCCCGGGUUGGGAUAUUUCGAAUCAACCUCACCCUAUCCUCACUGCUAACUUCACCCUGCAAGUGACAGUAUCCGAAAAAUGUUCUGAAUGCCAUUCUAAAGGAGACAUAUGCCAGGCAUACGAGGGAAAAACUAUUUGUGCACCUGCAGUACCGAAACUAUUUGUACUCAAUUAAUUCACCAUACUAGUUCACUUUCUUCAAAGUCUCAUCUCACAAUAUUGCAUUCACUGUAUCAUGGAGACUUAUUGGAUUACAAGGGAUGAAAGCUAAUGAAGCUAAAAUGAAAACUGGUUUUAUUUUUAUUUUUUUAUGAUGAUCAAUAAUAUCACAAGCUGUGAAUAUCAAAAUAACUAGGUUGAUGGGUAGAUAAGAAUUUAGAUAUCAUGUCUGUAAAUUUGGUGUUAGGAUAGGACAGUGCGUCAAUGAAAGAUAAGUUUCUCGAUGUUAUAGUACUGUAUAGAAGGUACAUGCCAGAAUGGAAAAUCUAGAUGUUCCGUAGCUAUAUAUGCGUUUCACUGUUACACAUCCACAGUGGCUUUCUAAUUUAUCAUUGCGCAUCAUCUUGAGUUUCUUAAGGAUUCCAACUUUAUCUGUGCCACUUCAGCCUUCUUUGCUUUGGCUAACACAAUUUUUCUGAGCUGCAGGAGACCACUUGAGAGUGAGAGUGAAGCUAGGACUAGGACUAUGUAAGAUCUUUAUCUCUUCAAUUGAAUCCUUAAUUUGUUACUAUCAGAAUAUAUGAACUGAACUGCUGUAUAGUUUAACCUCAUGAAAUCAAAUAAUGUUUUUGUGAAUGGUUUGAGCAGUAUUUUUAAAGAUCUUUUAUUGCAUAAUUUUGUGAUUUCUUUUCUUUGAUCAGCUGGUGGAUUAGUUGGUCUCCUGGUCCUAGUACUGGUUGUACUUUGCUGCUUAAGGAGAAAGUUAGCGUCUUCUAGAUUUAUUUUCUUUUGGAAGAAACAAAACCAAAAUCUGGAGGCCAUUCUAUCAAACUAUGGACUACUUCAAGUUAAAAGAUACAGCUAUUUCGAUGUUAAGAAGAUGACCAAUUCUUUUGAAGAAAAAUUAGGACAGGGCGGAUAUGGUGGUGUAUAUAAAGGAAAAUUAAAAGACGGCCCUCUAGUAGCGGUGAAGGUAUUAAACAGAUCAAAAGGUAAUGGAGAGGAUUUUAUGAAUGAAGUUGCAGCUAUAAGUAGAACUUCCCAUGUCAACGUUGUCAGUUUGUUGGGGUUUUGUUUCGAGGGCUCAAAGAGAGCACUCAUUUAUGAGUUCAUGCCUAAUGGAUCUCUUGAGAAGUUCAUAUAUGAUGCAAAUAACCCGCAAAAGGAUCAUCACUUGGGAUGGGAAGCACUGGAACAAAUUUCACUUAGCAUUGCUCGAGGCCUAGAGUACUUGCAUCGUGGCUGCAACACAAGAAUUUUGCAUUUUGACAUCAAGCCUCAUAACAUUCUUCUUGAUGAGAACUUCUCGCCAAAGAUCUCUGAUUUUGGCCUUGCCAAAAUAUGUGACAGGAAAGAGAGUAUUGUGUCAAUGUUGUAUGCAAGAGGUACUGCUGGAUACAUCGCUCCAGAGGUGUUCUGUAGAAGUUUUGGAGGGGUCUCGCACAAAUUGGAUGUGUACAGCUACGGAAUGAUGCUUUCAGAAAUGGCUGGGGGAAGAAGGAACAUCAAUGUUGAAGCUGAAAAUACUAGUGAGAUAUACUUUCCACACUGGAUUUACAAGCGUCUUGAGCUGGACGAGGAACUUGGCCUGCAUGGUAUCAAAAGUGAGGAAGACAAAGCCAGAGCAAGAAAGUUGAUAAUAGUAAGCUUAUGGUGCAUACAGACUGAUCCCUCAAACGACCAGCGAUGAAAGAAGUGAUAGAAAUGCUGGAAGGGAGUGUGGAGUACUUGAAGAUACCAGCCAAGCCCUACUUGUCUUCUCCUUCAAUGUUCUAAAGAAGGUAUAUGCAUGGGAACAGAUAUGCAUUAAAAAGUAUGCAUGCAGGGUUUUAAAAUGAUCAUAUUCUGUUUUGUGUUGUUCUUGUGAUUCAAUGCCUACUUUAUCUCUGGUACUUCAUCAUAUCUAAUGACAUGAACGUGCUGGGAAUUGGGGCUUGUUAUCUUUUUCUGUUUUCAAAUAUGGUGUUUCUCUAUUACAGUGAUCGUUUUGCAGCACCUGGAAACUAGGUAGUUGAAGUCUCAAUAGAUAAUAUAGAUUUAUCAACUUUAUUCUAAGGGUUCCACUUGUGUGCUUUAAAGUAUGGAUACCCAAACAGUUUUGACUUGUUAUAACAGGUUAAAACAAACUAACACCGUUAACUCUCCGUUAAGUCUCUCUAUAUCUACAGUUUUCAUUAAAAAUAUCUACCAUUCAGAUGAGCAAAAUCAAACAAAAGUAGACUUUCUGGAAAUCAAAAUGAUUCUUGAGAUUGUCUACAACUAUCAUAAGAAACAGCUACUACUGUCAUGAAAAAUAUCACAGAAAAUGUUGCAAGUCGAAAGACACAUUUAACAUAAGACACAUCUACUGUUUUCAUUAGAAAAGAAAAGUAGACUUUUCUAGAAAUCAAAAUUGUUCUUGAGAUUGAAUCAACCCAAGGUAAAAUUUGCAACUCUACAUUUAACAAAAGACACAUCUACUAUUUUUAUUACAAAUCUCUACCAUUAACCUAAGCGAAAUCAAAGAAAAGUAGACUUUCUGGAAAUCAAACUUGUUCUUGAGAUUGAAUCAACCCAAUGUAAAAGAUGCAAAGUCUACAUUUAACAUAAGACACAUCUACUAUUUUCAUUAGAAAUGUCUACCAUUAACAUAAGAGAAAUCAAAGAAAAGUAGACUUUCUGGAAAUCAAAACUGUUCUUGAGAUUGAAUCAACCCAAGGUAAAAUAUGACAUUUAACAUAAGACACAUCUACUAUUUUCAUUAGAAAUGUCUACCAUUAACAUAAGAAAAAUCAAAGAAAAGUAGACUUUCUGGAAAUCAAAAUUGUUCUUGAAAUUGAAUCAAUAAUUGAAUGUGAAAGUUGCAAAGUCUACAAUUAACAUAAGACCCAACUACUCUUUUCAUGAGAAAUGUCUACUAUUUAGAUGAGAAAAAUCAUAAAAAAGUAGACUUUUUGGAAAUCAAAAUUGUUCUUGAGAUUGAAUCAAUAAUUGAAGAUGAAAGUUGCAGAGUCUACAUUUAACAUAAGACACAACUACUAUUUUCAUGAGAAAUGUCUACCAUUUAGAUGAGCAAAAAUAAAAAAAUAAGUAGACUUUCUGGAAAUUAAAAUUGUUCUUGAGAUUGAAUCAAUAAUUGAACAUGAAAGUUGCAAAGUUUACAUUUAACAUAAAACAUAACUACUAUUUUCAUGAGAAAUGUCUACCAUUUAGAUGAGCAAAGUCACAAAAAAGUAGACUUUCUGGUAAUCAAAAUUGUUUUUGAGAUUGAACCAAUAAUUGAAGAUGAAAGUUGCAAAGUCUACAUUUAACAUAAGACACAACUACUAUUUUAAUGAGAAAUGUCUAUUUUAAUGGAGCCCUAACCAAAUGAUUAUUUUCGUAUGUUGAAGAUGAAAAUUGACCGUCUGAUGUGAUCAUUAUUGUGAAACAUGGCUUUGGUAUAAAAUUCAACUGGAUUCAACAAUGUUUGGGGCUCGAUCAAAGGGGUCAACCCUGAUUCAUCUUUACUUAUCACACGAAAACUAUCUUACCUACCUCUUCGUGACCUAGUUUGGUGGAUUCUUCAACACAAUAAAGUCUCACAUAGAUGAGACAUAACCACCCAUGUAAAACUUUGGAGACGUUUACCACCCGAGGAUAGGGCUCUCCUUAAUGAAGCAUAAGCGUAAAUAGGGUUGACCGCUUCAAUCGGGGCCCAAACAUUGGUAAAUUAAAGUGAUUUUUCUACCGUAGCCGUAUUUUACUAUACCGAUCACAUCCUAUUUCACGAGAUUUUUGAAAAUUUUGCUUCCUCUAUAUAGUUGGUUCACAAAGUUGUACACUAGCAUAUAACCUACCAAACAAGUUAUACCACAUUAGUAGGCACGUUGUAAUUCCGAUGACUAAAAUUUAGACGUAAUUGUGAAGUGGGUCUUGCCAGUGGUCCGGGACAUUUUUCGGUGAAUUUUUCCGACACCGGAGCUAUUUUCUAUGCAUUUUUAAAGUUUUGAAAUGGUGGAAAAAAAAGUAAAACUUUAAUGAUAUAGACAAAUUAGUGACUUAGGACGAAUGAGGUCGCGACAUGUGGUAAUUAGUGUUGAAUUUUCAGAAAAGGAAUUCCCCCGAAAUGGAAACUUACCAUUCCUUUUAUAGUAGAUUUCCAUAAAUAGUAACUUUCGUUUUUAAAGCAUAACUAUCCCCUCAAAAUAGAAACUUACCCUUCCUUUUAUAGUUAAUUUCCAUAAAUAGUAACUUUCGUUUUUAGAGCACAACUAUCCCCCCAAAAUAGAAAUUUACCUUUUCUUUUAUAGUUGAUUUCCAUAAAUAGUAACUUUAGUUUUUUUAGUAUAAUUAUCCCCCCGAAAUGGAAACUUACCCUUCCUUUUAUAGUUGAUUUCCAUAAAUAGUAACUUUCAGAAAGUCUACUUUUGCAUGUCAAUUAGCUCAUGUUAUUAGUAGACCUAACUCAUGUUAAUAGUAGACUUUACAUCUUAGAGUACUUGAUCCAACUUUGAAUAACAAUCUCAAGAACGAAUUUCCAAAAAGUCUACUUUUAUAUGAUUUUGCUCAUUCAAAUGGUAGACAUUUCUUAUGAAAAAAGUAGUUGUGUCUUAUGUUAAAUGUAGACUUUGUAAUUUUCAUCUUCAAUUAUUAAUUCAAUCUCAAGAACAAUUUUAAUUUCCAGAAAAUCUACUUUUUUAUUAUUUUGCUCAUCUAAAUGGUAGACAUUUCUCAUGAAAAUAGUAGUUGUGUUUUAUGUUAAAUGUAGUCUUUGCAACUUUUGUCUUUAAUAGGUUCAAUAUCAAGAACAUUUUGAUUUCCAGAAAGUCUACUAUUUUGUGAUUUUGCUUAUUUAAAUGGUAGACAUUUCUCAUGAAAAUAGUAGUUGUGUCUUAUGUUAAAUGUAAACUUUGCUACUUUCACCUUUAUUUAUUGAUUCAAUCUCAAAAACAAUUUUGAUUUCUAGAAAGUCUACUUUUUUGUGAUUUUGCUCAUCUAAAAGGUAGACAUUUCUCAUGAAAAUAGUAAUUGUGUCUUAUGUUAAAUGUAGACAUGCAAAUUUUACAUUUGGUUGGUUCAAUCUUAAGAACCAUUUUUAUUCUAGAAAGUCUACAUUUAUGUGAUUUUUCUCAUCUAAAUGGUAGUUAUUUCUUAUGAAAAUAGUAGUUGUGUCUUAUGUUAAAUGUAGACUUUGCAACUUUCACUUUCCAUUAUUGAUUCAACCUCAAGAACAAUUUUGAUUUCUAGAAAGUGUACUUUUUUGUGAUUUUGCCUAUCUGAAUGGUAGACAUUUCUCAUGAAAAUAGUAGUUGUGUCUUAUAUUAAAUGUAAACUUUGCAACUUUCACUUUCAAUUAUUGAUUCAAUCUCAAGAACAAUUUUGAUUUCCAGAAAGUCUACUUUUUUGUGAUUUUGCUCAUCCAAAUGGUAGACAUUUCUCAUGAAAAUAGUAGUCGUGUCUUAUGUUAAAUGUAGAGUUUGCAACUUUUGCCUUCAAUAAGUUCAAUCUCAAGAGAGCAUACAAAAGGAGUUAGUUUCUUGCAACGAGAUCGAUUUUAGUAAGAAAUUGACAUAUUGAUGAGACAAGAGGGAAGCAAUCAGACGUUGCUUUUCUUCUUGAAGGAUAGAGGAGAAGGCUUGUCGAACAGUGGGUAGAGGCUUCAUGAGAAGAAUUUGUCCUCGGAUAGCUUGGUAUGUUUCAUUCAAUCCCAUAAGGAAUUGCAUCAAUUUCUGUUGAUCUGUUUGUUAUGUUGCAUCAAGUGUUGAUAAUUCAUCCCAUAGAGCCUUCAACUUUGUGAAAUAGACUGAAACUGAGAGUUGUUCUUGUCGAAGAGAGUUGAUAUCUCUCUGAAUCUCAAAGAUGCGUGUCGCAUUUGCUUGAGAAAAGCGUUCAUGAAGAUCCUCCCAAACUUCAUAGGCAGUAGGAUAAUAGGUCACACUUUCGAUUAUUUCUGGAUCGCAAGAACUAACGAUCCAAGAGUGGACCAUGUCAUUACACCUUGACCAAAUCGCAUAACCAUUAGGGUCAGCUGUUUCUGAAGGAGCUUUAAUAGAGCCAUUGACGAAUCCGAGCUUGUUCUUGGAAUUUAAGGCUCGAACCAUAGCCCUUUUCCAACCAGAGAAAUUGUCUCCAUUCAAGGGUUUAGAGAUGAGAACCAAUCCAGGAUGAUCGGAAUGGUGAAUGAGGUAGGGACUUGAAACCUCUAAUAAGGUUUCUGAAUCCUUUGGAACAGAAUCAAUUUUUGGUGGUGAGUAUUUUGAGGAUUCUGAGGUCUUAGGAAUAGAACCGUCAGGUUUUGGAGAUGAUGGGAUUUUGUCAUCAGACAUGAUGGCUGAGAUAGGGAGGCUGCACGAGAAAUUAGAGUGCAACGAUAGAACAGGAUCUUAUCACUGCUCUGGUACCAUGAAAAGAUAAUAGUUCUGGUGGAAUAAUCUUUCAUUGAUACAGAGGGAAUACAUAUACAAGUGUAAUUGUGACUGACUAGGAAACUAAACUCUAUAAGGAAACAUAUAUAUACAGAUAAGUAAAUCCCUAAUAGAGAAGAUACUGUCUAAUAGGGUUAUGCUGUUGAUGAGAUACAGCUGAUCUUCUUUCUAUCUAAAGACUAUUUUCCUUACAGAUGAUGUAUACAAAGGAAGACUUUAAUGAUGGUUCACUUAGCAUUGCUCGACGCGUAGGGUUUUGAAAUUUCCUCUCCAACAAUAACUUUCUAAAGUUAUUGAGGUUGAGGAAACGAAAGAAACCUCAUUUGAUUUCUGUCAAAGUAUACUAAACAUUCAAUGGGAUGAAAACAUAUUUUUAUUUUAUUUUUUAUUUUUUAUCUGGGAGAAGGGAUGAAACCGAAUGUUGAUAGUCAUGGCAUCAAAGAUGAGCGAAAUAAACUAGGGUUUACAAAGAAAGCAGAGAAAUUUAAGAGAGGAUAGAUCAGAACACUUGCUUUGAUUAAAAUGAAGCUUAAUUACAAAGAGAAGCUGCUCAGCACUAUAUAUACAUCAGAGAGCGAGGAAAAUAAGAGAGCUUAACUAACUAACAGAAUACAGCUGUAGCAUACUACAAUGUAUACACGUGUCAUCUUAAUACAACUAACAGUAGAAAUAAUAUCUCACUCAAUAGCUGAAUAGCUCAGUCAACAUCCUCCCUCAAGCUCAGCUAGGGAGACUAGCCUGAGAUUGGUACAAUGUGUUUUGAAGAUAGGAGAAGGAAGUCCCUUGGUAAGAAUAUCUGCUGUUUGUUCUAUAGUGGGAACAUAUUGAAGACAUAGAUCAUUGCGCUGUACUCUUUCACGAACAAAGUGAAAGUCAUUAUCCAGAUGCUUGAUUUUAGAAUGAAAUACUGGAUUUGAAGCUAGAGCAAAAGCUGACAGGUUAUCACAUUUGAGAAGUGGAGCUCGAGGAAUUCUAAUUUUCAAGUCACACAACAAAUGUCUGAUCCAACUUAUUUCAGCAACGGUAUUAGCUAAACUCCUAUACUCAGAUUCAGUGGAGCUUCGAGAAACUGUACCUUGUUUCUUGGAUUGCCAUGAAACUGGACAUAAACCAAGAUACAUAACAAAUCCUGUAGUUGAACGCUUUUGAAUCACCUCUCCUGCCCAAUCUGCAUCACAAUAUGUCUUAAUAUUCACAGCAUUUUGUAAAGCAUCAGUAGAGCUAUAAAAUAUCCCUUUAUGAAGAGUUCCUUGCAAGUAUCUCAAGAUUCGUUUCACUGCAGCAUAUUAAUGCACAUCAGUAGGAUUUAUCAUAAACUGACAAACAGUAUUGACAGAAUAAACAAUAUCUGGACGAGUAAAAGUCAAAUACUGCAAUGCACCUACAAUGCUCUUGUACAUUGUGGGAUCUUUGAGAGGUAUGCCUUGAUCCUUAGUCAUCUGAUAAUGUGGAAGACAAGGAGAACUACAAGCAUUGAUUGAUUCCAUACCUGUUUUCACAAGCAAAUCCUUGGCAUAUUUGGUUUGACUAAUUAAAAUUCCUCUCUGCACCUUCUUGACUUCCAAACCAAGAAAAUACGACAAUGGGCCAAGAUCAUUCAUGUCAAACACCUGGCUUAACUCAUCAAUAACAGCAUGUAUUCCUACAUUGUCUGAACCAGUGAUCACAAUAUCAUCAACAUAUAGUAACAAUGCAACCAUACCCUCUGAUGUAUGUCUAAUAAAGAGACUUGGAUCUGAAUGUGAAAACUUGAAACCUAAACUCGGUAAGAAGCUUGUGAACUUUUCAUUCCAAGCUCUAGGAGCUUGUUUCAACCCAUAGAGAGACUUUCUGAGUAAAUACACAUAAUCUGGAUGCUCACUAUCAACAAAACCUUAAUUGUGAUUGUGACAUAUAGACUUCUUCUUUCAAAUCUCCAUGUAAAAAGGCAUUUUUAACAUCCAAUUGCCUUAACUCCCAAUUAUUCAUUGCAGCUAAAGCUAAAGUACUCUUACAGGGCUAAAGGUUUCAUCAUAAUCUAAGCCUUUAGCUUGACUAAACCCUUGAGCUACUAAUCUAGCUUUAUAUCUGGAGACUGUUCCAUCUGGAUUUUUCUUUAUCUUAUAUAUCCACUUACUCCCUACUAUAUUUCUAUUCUUUGGACAGGGAACAAGAGACCAUGUACCUUGUUUGUAUAGAGCCUCAAUCUCUUCCAACAUAGCUUGAUCCCAUUCAGUUUUCCCAGUUGCUCCCCUGAAAGACUUUGGUUCAAUCACAUCACUAACAUCAGACACAGCAGUAAAACCAAUGAAAAAUGGAAAUUCCGUGUAUAACUUUUGUUGAGCCACAGCAGAAUAACAGUAAUAAUCUUCAAAAGUCUUAUGUUUGACAAUGCCAUUUUUAGCUCUAGUCAUCAUAGAAUGGUCAUUGUAGUUCUAAUGAACUCAAGUUCCUGAGGCAGAUCAUUAGGAUUAAUAUUUCCACCAAACUGUAAGGCAUUUACCUCACUCUCAUCAAGACCAUUCAUAUUAGAAGUUAUACAAUUAAUUUCAAUAGCUGCAUUAUUUUCAGUAGCUGCACCAUUUUGAGUGUCACAUCCCGACCCGUAAAUUUUUACCUUAUUUACUAGCUUGGUUAUAAUAAGAAUUUUACCGUCUCCGUCAUUGAAGUUAUAGUUUAAUUGGUCCCUAGAGGGGUUUCGGGGACAGUUAUGCUCGGAGGAUUAUUUGUAGGAGGAAAAUAUGACGACGGUAAAAAUGGUAAAUUUUAGCUAGUAAAAGGUAAUUUUUAUUCGGGUAUUAUUUUUCGGGGUAUUUUAUUUUUUUGGAGUUGGGUUUAUAUUUGGUUUGGGUAGGAACCGGUUUGGGAAAAAAAAAAAGCCCAAACCCUAUUCUCUCUUCUCUCUCUCCUCCCUCCCGNNNNNNNNNNNNNNNNNNNNNNNNNNNNNNNNNNNNNNNNNNNNNNNNNNNNNNNNNNNNNNNNNNNNNNNNNNNNNNNNNNNNNNNNNNNNNNNNNNNNNNNNNNNNNNNNNNNNNNNNNNNNNNNNNNNNNNNNNNNNNNNNNNNNNNNNNNNNNNNNNNNNNNNNNNNNNNNNNNNNNNNNNNNNNNNNNNNNNNNNNNNNNNNNNNNNNNNNNNNNNNNNNNNNNNNNNNNNNNNNNNNNNNNNNNNNNNNNNNNNNNNNNNNNNNNNNNNNNNNNNNNNNNNNNNNNNNNNNNNNNNNNNNNUUGUGCUUCGUGAAGGUAUGCUCAUCACUUCCCUCUAGUUUUUCGGUCUUCCUUGAGCUUCGAUUUCCAAAUAUAGAGCCCUAAUCAGAUUUCCCCCUUUCUCUGUUUUCUGGGUUUGAAGUUCGGUCUCCAACAAGGGCUUUUGUUCUUGAAUUUCAGUGUGUCCGUCGAGCUCAGGCGAACCUAGUUGUGGUUGGUGGGAGCCCCGACGCACUUUGGAAGAAGUUUGGAGGAAGUUGUUACUGUUUCGGAAGGAGGCAGUGGUUUUGGGUGUUUGAUUGAGUGUCCUCCGAUCAUGACUGCGGUUUUGGGCUGUCAGUGAACAUGGUUUCGGCGAGGAUUAUAGCAAGGUGAGUGUUAAGUUUUGAUCUUUGGUGUUGUUGUUGUUGUGUGGUUUCGGUUGGUUGGUGUUUGAAUCGUUUAUUUUCUGCAUGAUUGUCGAUAACUUGGAGAUUAGAAGAUGCAGGGAGACUAUGGCCAAUUUUCCAGCAGAAUAUUCCGACAAGUCGUCGGAAUCCGGCGAAGGCAGUUAGUCCGACAAGAGCAGUUGAGGUAGUUAUUGAAGUUUUCCUUUUUGUUUUGCGUUGUUUCAUAAAUAGGAAGUUUGUCGGUUUAUAAUCGGAAAUCUUUCUAAGUGAGGAAAGUUCCUAUUUUGGGGAAACUUUCCCUUUUUUGGAAAACUUUCUAUUUAUGGAAACCCAUUUUGGGUGCCCUUAGUGAUUUAUGGUGUGAAGUUGUAUAGAGAGAGAGUGAUUGAGGAUUGUUUGGAUGAAGAAUCAAUUGUAAUUGAAUUAUUAAGAUGGUUGUUGGAAUUAAAUUGGAUGGUAGAGUAACCAAGGUAACCCGAUUUGUUAAGUCGAAGGUUAAAAUGGAAAUUGUUGAGGCUUCGUUAGUUGGCUAAUCAUAAAUCAAUUGGUCAAACUUGGUCAAUCCUGGUCAACUCAGUAAACCUAGUCAAACUAGGAAGAAGUCGAAUCGUUAAUGAUUAUUGGAGUCCGGUCUGACCAAUUUAUUCUUCUGUUUAUCGUCAGACGUGGGAUUGGCUAGAGAGUGUGAUUAGUUGGAGGCGGCGCUCGAGGAGUAUUCCGAGCAUUGGAAGGCUUAGGCCUNNNNNNNNNNNNNNNNNNNNUUAUAUAGGGAGUAUGGACGUGUGUAAAUACAUACAUAUAUUAUAGAGCCUGAGAGGCUCGAUAUUUAUGAGAUAAAAGUUUUAUCGCUUGCAGCAUGCAUUCGAUUUUCCUUGAAAAUUGAUUUGGGGAAACAUAAAUAUUUUAUUCGUUAAUUUAUUUUUGUCCACUCACUCUAACGUUUCGUUUUCAAAUGUUUUCCCCUGGGCUCUUCGUUUUAAAAAUGCCCAGUUUGCAGGAUUGCAUAGUUGAGGUCGGACGUAUAUGGAGAAGAGACAUAGUCAAUAGUGUAGAUUCCGCUCAUUUUUAUAUUUUUAGUUCAUUUCCUUUCAAAUAGAGUUGCUCUGAACUGUAGCUGUUGGCUAUGAGAUUUUCUUGUUUAAGUUAGAAAUUAAAUUGGGAGAUGUUGUGAUUUGGGGAGCACGAAGGCUCCAAGAGUUUAUGGUUGGAUUUAAAUUUUCAGAAGUGUUUGCAGGUUUUAUUAGGAAGGGUUGUCCAUUUUCAAGAGAGGUUAUGUCGAAUUUUUCGGUAAACUUUCCUUGGAGGUGGUCCCCGCAGGAUCUACUUCGGGUUUCAUGAUGAAAUUCGGGGUGGGUCCUGUCAUUGAGUGACUGCAUUUACAUCAGUAGCAACAGUAUCAGACAUACCUGAAUUUGUAUCACCAGAAGAAUCAUGACUUUGUGGACCAUUUUCAUUUUCUGAACCUUCUAAGCCAUUCUGAGAACUAUUACCACCAAACAAAUUCUCAUUAACAGAUAAAAUCCCAUUUGUCCCAUUUGCAAUCUCAUUCUCAUUUUCAGUCCCAGUAAGGCCCCCCACCACCACAGUGUGACCUCCACUGUGAGAAAGACAAUGUGAACUGGACACAGGCAUCCUCAAAGGUAGAGUAGUGAGAGGAACAGAAGAAGGAAAGAAGGUGACAGGAUUAACCAAAGAAGAUGCAGGAGGAGGAGAUGAGUGAAAGGGAAAAAUGGUUUCAUCAUGAAUAACAUGUCUUGCACUACCAGAAGAAAGACUUUAGCUGACGAAAAAAAAAAAACCAGGCCGACGAAUUAUUUUUUCGUCGGCUAUGGUCAACUUUAGCUGACGAAUUUAAAAUUUCGUCGGCUGAAUAAUUUUUUUCGUCGGCUAUAGUCUGUGAACUUUAGCCGACGAAAAAAUAUAAUUUCGUCGGCUAAAGUGCUUAUAUUUGCAAAUCUGGACAACAACUCAUCUGGGAAAAAAAAAACUAUACGUAGAACCUUCAAACACAAAAAAGUCGUGAAAUAAGAUAUGACCAGAAUGGUGAAAUACGUCAACGGUUGAAAAAUCACGGUAUUCCGGUAAAGUCUCGGUGCCGAUAGUUGCGGUCAAUGCAAUUUACCCUUAUUAUUCACUAUGCUGCAGAUUUGACUAUUGUGAUACCUUUCCGGAAGCGUAACGGCCCUACGAGUCAAACUCAUUGUUAUGCCAUGACAUAUGGGCCUUUUUGGCCAUCCGAGUCCGUUUAGAGCUUCAAAAUGCAGUUUUCUUAUUUCCGAUUAGAGUUGACCGUUUCGAUCGAGCCCUUAACGUUGUCGAAUCCAGUUGAAUUUUUUACCAUAGACAUCUUUCGUCAUAGUGAUCAUAUCUGACGGUCGAAUUUUGGUUUGUGAAUUUUAGCAUUGGAAUCACAACGUGUCUAUUAUUUACCGUUAUUAUUCCCUAUGGGGAGCCCUAUCGUCGGAAGGUAAAUGUCUCAAAAUUUUAAAUGGGCAGUUGCGUCUCAUCUACGUGAGAGUUUUUUGUGUGGAAGGUUUGACAAAACUACGUAUAUAGAGGGAGAUAUGAGUGUUUUCGUGUGAUAAGUGACGAUGGAUUAGGGUUGACCGUUUUGAUCGAACCAUUAACGUUGUCGGAUCCAGUUGAAUUUUUUACCAUAGACAUAUUUCGUCAUAAUGAUCAUAUCUGACGAUCGAAUUUUGGUUUGUGAAUUUUAGUCAUCGGAAUCACAACGUGUUUACUAAUGUUGUAUAACUUGUUUAGUAGGUUAUACAACUUUGUGAACCAACUCUACAUUAUCAAAAAUCUCGUGAAAUAAGAUGUGUUUAGAAUGGUGAAAUACGGCUAUGGUUAAAAAAUCACAUAAAUCGGGUAACGUCUCGGUGCCCAUAGUAGCGGUCAACCCCAUUUACAGUUAUUAUUCCCAAUGGGGAGCCCUAUCGUCGGAAGGUAAAUGUCUCAAAAUUUUUAUAUAGGCGGUUGCGUCUCAUCUACGUGAAAGUUUUUCGUGUGGAAGGUUUGACCAAACUACGUAAUAUAAAGGGAGAUAUGAGCGUUUUCGUGAAUUUAUAGACUUUAGCCGACGAGAUAUUAAAAAAGUCGUCGGCUAAGGUCAAAAUUUUUUUGGUGGUAAACCAAAUUUGGAGGAAAAUUUUCAAAGGACUUUAGCCGACAAAAAUAUAUGAAAAGUCGUCGGCUAAAGUCGAAAAAUUUUCAAAAAUUUUCAACCAAAAUUUUUUAGCGGUCAACCAAAAUUUUCAAAAGAGUUUAGCUGACGAAAAUAUAUGAAAAGUCGUCGGCUAAAGUCGAAAAAUUUUCAAAAUUUUCAAAAGAGUUUAGCCGACGAAAAUAAAUAAUUUCGUCGGGUAAAGUUCUUUAUAUAGAAGUUUUACAGGAGGUGAAUGGUAAGAAGUCAGAAAAUCAGAAAAUGCCGGAUUUUCUUCUCGGCCUAGCUCCGCCGUCAAGCCACCGGAGACCGCCACACUUAUCCCAAAAGCUUCGCCGUCUUCUCUACUUCAUUGCUGGACAAGUGGCGCAUCAAGUGGCGCCGCCGUGAGGGAUAAAUCGAGCUCCAAAACUCCGCCGGUUCGGAUUCGGUGUCGAUCGAAUUUCUCCUUCCUCAGGUCACCAUUUGGUGAGUUCUAUAUAUGGAUAAGUUGAGUUUGAUUAGUACUACAUUCCCCUAGAAUUUGGUAGCUCGAUUCGGUGUGUGUGAGGAGAAUCGAAGAUUUGAAGUUUUUAGGGUUUAAAAUUGGAGAUUUUUAUAUUUUGAUUCAAUUGACCUAUUUAGGCUUAGAAUUGGACUUCGACUUCUUCUAGGAAGUUGUUCGAAAUGUUGAGAGGAAGAUUCUGUCAAAUUUUGGUGGUGAUUGGAGGUGGCCAAAAGUUUCUGCAGUUUUUUAUUUCAAAAACCAGCAACUUUAGCCGACGAUAUUUAAAUACUUUAGCCGACGAAACAGAUUAUAUUUCGUCGGCUAUAGUUAUUUUUUAAUUUUUUUAUAAGGUUUAGCCGACGAAACAAACUAUAUUUCGUCGGCUAUAGUUAUUUUUUUAAUUUUUUAUUACACACACUUUAGCCGACGAUAUUCGUCGGCUAAAGUCUAGGAAAAAAACCGACGACAUGUUUUUCGUCGGUUAAACUGUGGGACUAUAGCCGACGACGUCUUCUUUUUUCGUCGGCUAAAGUCGUCGCCGACGACCUUUUCCCGACGAAAUCUUAACGAUCUUACCCGACGAAUUGAGCUAACAGGCCGACGAAACUUUUUCGUCGGCUAAAGUGCUUGUCCUGGUAGUGUUGACAUCCAAAGUCUAUUGUGAGUAAUACUAUAACAAAAGACCCCUUUAUAUCCCAAGGCAUAUCCUAAAAAUACACAUUGAGUAGUUCUAGGAUCCAGCUUAUCAUGCGUGUCUGAGAUAAGGAUAACAAGAAGAACCAAGAAUCUUAAGCUGAGAAAUAUCUGGAGAUUUGUGAAAUAAAAGCUCAUAGGGAGAGAUCAUAUUUAGAGACUUACUAGGCAUGCGAUUAAUAAGAUAGCAUGAAUGAGCAACACUAUGAAACCAAAAGUGUUUGGGAAUGCUAGCAGUAGAAAGAAGGAAAAUAGCAGAUAUGCCUAUUUUUUCUUUCGGCAACCCCAUUUUGUUGAGGUGUGGAGGGACAUGUAAUCUGAUGAACAAUUCCUUUGGAUGAAAGAAAAUUGUGACAGGCUUUACUAUUAAAUUCACCACCUCUAUCUGUUUGAAAUUGUUUGAUGGUAGAACUAAAUUGAUUUUCUACAAAAGCCCAAAAAUGCACAAACUUGGCAAAAACAUCAGAUUUAUUGAUAAGUGGAAAAAUCCACACAAACUUUGUACAAUCAUCAAUAAAGGUGAGAUGAUAUCUAUAUCCCUCUAUUGAAAUACAUGGAGCAGGUCCCAGACAUCAGAAUGCACCUUAUAAAAGGGCAUUGAUGCUGUGGACUGAGAAUCAGAAAAAGGAAUUCUUGCCUUCUAAACAAUGAGAACAAAUAGAACUAGGUACGGAACUAGACCAUUUUAUUUGAGAACUAGACAACAUUUUUGACAAAACAGAUUGAGAAGGAUGACCUAAACGUUGAUGCCAAAUUGGAUAGGAUGUAGAUGAGCUGAGAAGAGCACUAUGAGAAAGUGGAGAGAUGGAUGAAAUUGAUGGAGACUUGAAGAGAAACAGGCCAUCUUCAUUACUCUUUCCUUGGUAGAGAACUGUUUUGGAUGCCUUGUCCUGCACAGCAAUAAUAUGUUCAUCAAGCGUUAUGUAACAACUGUUAUCUCUGCAUAACUUUGUAAAUGACAGCAAAUUCACAACUAAAUCUGGGACAUGAAGUACUGAGUCCAAUUUCAAAACAUGAUCAGCUGGUUUUAUAUAACUAGAACCAGUAUGAGCUAUAUGCAAACCUGUACCAUUACCAAUAGUGAUCUUAUUAUCAUAGGAAUAUGGCUGAGCAAUAGUGAGGUUUCUCAGUUCAGAAGUCAUAUGAUGAGUAACUCCUGAAUCUCCUAUCCACACUUCAGGCUGAGGAACAUUUGAGGAAUUAUACGAGUAACCAGCAGAUGAUGAUGAUGCUCCACUACUAGGGUUAAAACCACCAGGAAAACUUGAUCCAAAUGAGCCAUGAGAAAUCGAAUAUCCACCCUGAGAAUGUUGGCCAACAUUAUUUGCACUUCCAAUUGUUUGAGUUGCAGACAGAGCAAUAAGAGAAGUAGGGGGAUCAGAACCCUGAUAUGCAAAGUUGGUUAUGUGUGUACAAUUCAAUGCCACAUGACCCUUGAGACCACAAAUUUGACAAGUUGGAAUGGAUAAAGAAGGAUGUCCAUCAGGAACAUCUGUCCUGUAAAAACAAUUAGUAGCAGUGUGACCUUUUUUGGAACAAAUUUGACAUUCAGGAGAAGGUCCAAUGUUUAAUGAUGAUCUGUGUUGAGGCUGAGAGCUCUGAGGUUUGUACUCAAGGUUUUGAUAACAUGUACUUGUUAGAUUUCCAUGUUUUCCACAAAUUUGGCACUUGUGAACAUGAAAGCAUGUUUCCAUAGUAUGUCCCCUCUUACCACAAACUUGACAUCCAACUGCAGUACCAGUAUAUUUUCCAUCUUUUCCUUUACUAUCACCCUUGCUAGCCCACCCUCUUUUAUUGCCAUCUCUCUGACCAGCCCCUGGUCCAUCUCCUUGAGCAACCAUGGCACUCAUACUAGAUUGGAGUGAAAAACUCCCUUCAAUUCUUCUCUCUGCAACAAGAAGCUGAGAUCUCAAAUCUCUGAGAGUGACUGGAUUUUCCCUGCCCUCAAUGACAGUUCUAACAGUAGAAUACUCAUCAGGAAGUCCAUUGAGAAUUACAAUGAUGAUAUCUUCAUCAGGAAUAGUAACCCCCACAGAAAGUAGUUGAUCUCUAGCAUUUUUGACACGCUGAAGAUACUUUUCAAUUGUUUCUGCUCCCUUUCGAAGAGUCCGAAGUUCAGUUUUCAGCUGCAUGAUAUUCACUCUUGAAACUGUGGAAAAACGCUCAUGUAAAGCUAGCCAAGCUUGUCUAGAAGUUUUGUAACCAAUGAUAACAUUAACAAUGUCUUCAUCUAGUGUGGCCAUAAGCAAACUCAGAAGUGCCAUAUCUGUUUGUUUCCAAGCUUUAUAAGCAGUAGUCUCCUCAUUAGUUACACCAGCAUCAGUAGUAAGGGCAUAUCUAGGUGGAGCUACUUCUGAACCAUCAUAGAAACCAAACAAGCCAUUUCCAGCCAAAGUAGAUUGAAACUGAAAGCUCCAUUUGAUAAAAUUUCUCUCACCAAGACGCAUAGUAAUAAUGCUUAACAGUGAGUGAACAUCAGAAUGAGAAAGACUAGGAAAGGUAGUAGCUUGCUGAGGUGCCAUUUGAUACUUACUGCAAACUUUAUCAAAAAGAAGGAAACUCAGAUCACUAAUUAAUAUGCUCUCUUUUCACCAAUUUUGCUUUGCUUUAGUUGAUCUGAAACACACACAUCUCAAAUAACAUUUUUACUGAACUUUACAGAAUUGAUCAAAGUUGAUACUUGGUUUGCUCAUACUCAGAGAAUCUCACUUUUGCUCAUUUUUCACAAACUCAGACAUAUACUACUCAGAAUUUUGUUCAAAUCUCACAAAAGAGCUCAAGCAACACAGAUCUACUCAAGAACCACAUAAUUUUCCUUCAAAUAUUCACCUCAGAAUUUUGCUCUCAAACUUUCACAUAAGUGCUCAAGCAACUCAGAUCUACUCAAGAAUCACAAAAUUUUCCUUCAAAAUUAACCUAUUCACCUCAAAAUUUUGCUCUCAAACUUUCACAAAAGUGCUCAAGCAACUCAAAUCUACUCGGAAUUUACCAAACAAAGUUUCAAAUAUUCAUCUCCAAAACUUCAAGCAGCAACUUAUGGCUUAUUCAUCAAACACAUACUUCAUAAAGUGUAGAUCUUACGUCUCAGAAACAAACACAGAGUUGAUUCUCAAAGAAAAGGUAAUAGAUCAAGAAUCACCUCAAAUCUGGAACAAGAAGAGAAGUAGAGCUCAAAUCUAGCUUCGAUGAAAAUCAAAGCUACAAUCCCUAGCUUCGAUGAAGAUCAAAGCUGCAAUCGUUAGUCUCGAAGGCACAGAUUCCUCAAAUCGCAAACUAUCGAUUUAGGAUCUGAAUCAAUACAAAAGAAGAGUGAGAACAAGUAGAUAGAGCGUGCGGAAGCAUGAAUUAAAGGUCGUGGAUCUAUGGAUGCUCUGAUACCAUGAUAGCCAUGGCAUCAAAGAUGAGCGAAAUGAACUGGGGUUUACAAAGAAAGCAAAGAAAUUUGGGAGAGGAAAGAUCAGAACACUUGCUUUGAUUAAAAUGAAGCUUAAUUACAAAGAGAAGCUGCUCAGCACGGAUUCAAAUUUGCCGACCAGCAGCAUUAUGCUGGUCAUAGCACCACCAAAUAAGAGGUUUCCACGUGUCAAAAACCAUAGACCAUCACUAACUAUGAUUAAUCUCUCCUUAAAUUAAAUACCGCCUCUCCCUCUCCGCCUUCUCGCCGUCGACUACUACCUCCUCAGCUGCGGCUCCACCAUGACCUCCACCCUAGCCGACAGCCACCGCUUCCUCCCGGACUCCUCCCCUCAUCCCUCUCAGUUCCCCUCCGUGACCAAAACCCUUACCCAACGCCCUCCAAAUUUGCCAAACCGCCAGACUUUUUCACGCAAUCGUCACCUGCAUCCCAGAGUCCGGCAAGUACUUAUCGUCGUGACCCAACAACAUCAUCUCGUCGUGGUGUGCAAAAUAGUUGUUGGACAUCGUGAUCCCGAUGGACCCGAAGGGCAAGAUGCCGUCGCCGUCGGACUUGUCGCGCCAGCCGACGUGGGUCGGGGAGGAGGCGUCGUUGGUGUUGCCAGCGGGCUUGCAGUGGUGGACGUGGAUGUUGUGGAUGAUGAUGUUGGAGACGUACUGGAGGAUGAUGCAGCCUCCGCCGGUGACGUGGACGGAGUGGCCGCGACCAUCGAUGGUUUUGAAGGAGUUGACGAUGAGCUCGGCUUUGAGUUUGAUCCAGAGGGGUUUGGUUUGGAAGACGGCGUGGCGGAGAGUGUUGGGGGUUGGGUUGGCGGGGUUGCGGUCGGAGGAGUCAGUGACGAUGUAGAUCUGGUCGCCUUUGCCGCCCAUUGCGUCUGCGCCGAAGCCGAUGCCGCAGUCGGCGAGCUGCUGGCGGUUGUCGGCCCAGUUAUUGGAGGAGCAGCGCCAGCAGUCGUCGAUGGGGUUGCCCGUGGCGCAUUGUUGGUCAUUGAGGGACAGCAUUUCGCGGCGGGAGAGGGAGGCAUCGACUCUCCUAUCGAAAAACAGAGCGAAACAGAGUGAGAAAAGAGCAAAACAGAGUGAAUGAGCGAUAAUGUAGAUGAAAUUGGAGAUGUUGGAAUGAGAUAUUGAAUCACAAGCACAAAGCAAUGCGAAAACAGAGCAAAGCAGAGGAGAGUGAGGGAUAAUGUAGAUGGAACUGGAGAUUUGGGAUGGAAUUUUUUGUGGAGGAAGAUUGAAAUGGUUGAUUGAUGAAGAAAAUUUGGAGGGCGUUGGGUUAGGGUUUUGGUCACAGAGGGGAACUGAGGGGAACUGAGAGGGAUGAGGGGAGGAGUCCGGGAGGAAGCGGUGGCCGUCGGCUAGGGUGGAGGUCACGGUGGAGCCGCAGUCGAGGAGGUAGUAGUCGACUGCGAGAAGGCGGAGAGGGAGAGGCGGUAUUUAAUUUAAGGAGAGAUUAACCAUAGUUAGUGAUGGUCUAUGUUUUUGACACGUGGAAACCUCUUAUUUGGUGGUGCUAUGACCAGCAUAACGCUGCUGGUUGGUAAAUUUGAAUCCGCUUAGCACUAUAUAUACAUCAAAGAGGAAAAUAAGAGAGCUUAACUAACUAACAGAAUACGGCUGUAGCACACUACAACGUAUGCACGUGUCAUCUUAAUACAACUACCAGUAGAAAUAUCUCAGUCAAUAGCUGAAUAUCUCAGUCAACAAAUGUGACUCCUCCCUGAUUCAACCACUCAAAAGCGGAGGCGGGGAGCCUUUUUCCACUAGUCAAGCCACAUUAUAGUUCCCUCUGAACCUGGUCUCCUUCCUCUUUCUUCAUUGUUUGUACCCAAUUACAAGAUCUGAAAUGAAGCAAAGCUUCUUCUUCCCCUCAUCCAUAAAUCUGUACAUCCUCAUUUUCUUUCUCGUAUCAGAAACCUCAUUUGCUGUGGAUUUUCACUUUGAAAACUGCAGUGUGCCCAAGACUUGUGGCGGCCAAAACAUAUGCUUUCCGUUCUUCAUUCCAGGCCAGCAAGAACCCUACUGCGGCUUCCCGGGGUUUCAACUCUCCUGCAUCGAUGGAUACCCUACUCUUCAGUUGGCUGGAGAUGAGUACUUGGUCCACAAUAUCAGUUACCAACACCAGACUCUUGUCGUCUCAAACGCUGCACUUUCAAACUCAAACACAUCGGUUUGUAUUCCAUCAGUCCAAAACUUAACCUUUCCUACUGAUCAGUAUGACCUUGUUGAGAACCAAAAAGAAAUCGUUUUGCUAUAUGAUUGCAACUCUGCUUUGGUUGAUGAGUCGUUUUCCGAUGAGUACAAAAUCGGUUGCUUUAAGCAAACAAUGGCUAGGACGAAUAGUAGUUCAGUUCUGGCGCUGCCUGGGGAUCAACAACAAUUGUUAGCUAACGUGUCUGACAAGUGUGGAAGAGAAGUGGUGGUAACUCCGGUUGAAGAUUAUGCAACUAAUGAGUUGGAUAUUGAAGAGGUUUUGAAAAGAGGGUUUAAGCUGAAAUGGUCAUCAGCAAGCGGCUGCAGCCGGUGUGAGGACAGUGGAGGCAAGUGUGGUUUUGAUUCCGAGUCCCGUCAUUUCCGCUGUUUCUGCCCAGAUAGGCCUCAUCUUGUCAGCUGUAAAGGUAAAGGUUAGUCCUUUUUAUGUGUCUUGCUUCUUGUUCUUCCUUUUUAAUGAAUGUUUUAAGUUCAUCGUUAUAUAGGCCUCAUUUGACUAGCUGUGUUUCUACAGGUCAGUCUUCACUGUUACUUUUCUCAUUUAUUUACUUGCAUCUUGAAUUUAUAAUUUUAGAUGGCCUUGAAGAUUGUUAUGUUUUGUUCAUAUUAGUAUCAUUUUCUGCCUUCUCAACCAUCUUCUGCUUCUUCACUACGCUGAGUAGAACUGUAGAAGACAGGUAGAUUUGACUGCUCCUUAAACGCGUCUUCCUUCUUGUUCUUCCUAUGUUUAUGAAGUUUCGAAUUAUUUCACUUAUUUGGCACCCUAAACACGUUUAGCAAAGACUUCAAAGUCCUGUGCUUUCAAUAUUUUACAAGUCAAACUAGCGAGUUGAGACUUGAGAGGCAUCGAGAUAUUAAAGAUGAGAGAGGCAUCAAAAUCCUAAUUAAGCCUGCUAGUGGCUGUGGUUUUUGGGGAGAGAAUAGGAGCAAAUAGUCAUCCUGCUUUGUUUAUUCUCUCUGCUCUCACUCGUCUAGUGACUGUAAUGUACACUGUCGAUUGGUAUAUACCAAAGGAUGUCUUCAGUGCUAUACUACUGGAGGUAUAUGCAUGGAUGACAAUGGAGAAUUCAAAUGUUCCCGCACACAGGAAGGUAGAUGCUGGGAUGACUACUGAGAGUUCAUUGUUACAUACUUAAUUAGAUGUAGAGAAAUUGUCAACUAGCUAAGUAACAACUGCAUAAGGAGAAAGAAACCAACCAAAAUAUUCAUAACUAGCUGUGAAUCGAUCAACAGGUCUGUCUUUGACCUUUCCUUUCCUUAUUUAUUUACUUGCAUCUAGAAUUUAAAUACUGAAAAACCAAAUGCUUGUUGGCUUAGCUUGGAGGAUCAUCUAAUUAACUAAUUAAGGCCUUGCAUAACCAAUAUUUCCUGGCUAAUGAUAUGUGUUCUACCAUUUGUGUUGCAGGAGAUGCAUUGGGAUUGAAGCUAGGACUAGGCCUAGGACUAGGUAAGUUUGAUAUCUUUUCAAUUACAUAUGAAAACAUUAUGCGAUCCGAUCUGAUCUGAUACAAAGUGUUUGAACCCUUGGAAUCAAGUCAUUUCAAAGUUGCCCCAAGACAGGAAUGAGUCCCAGAAUUCAAACAUUAACUAUCAUCAGCAUUACCAUGUUAGUUUAUGUUUUUCAAUCCUGAGUUCCUGACAUAAUAUGCAAUUAAUUUCUUUUUGUUGAUCAACAGGUGCAGCUGGUCUUGUGAUUCUAGUAAUAGUUGUUGUUUGCUGCUUCAGGAUGAAGUUGUCUGAUAAAUCUAUGUUCUUUUGGAUGAACAAAUAUCAUAGUCGAGAAAUUGUUCAGGAAUUUCUAAGGGACCAUGGACCACUUCAAGUUAAGAGAUACAGCUACUUGGAUGUGAAGAAAAUGACCAGCUCCUUCAAGGAAAAAUUAGGACAAGGGGGGUACGGUGGUGUAUACAAAGGAAAAUUAGACGAUGGAUGUCUUGUAGCAGUGAAGAUCUUGAACAGAUCAAAAGGUAAUGGAGAAGAGUUUAUGAAUGAGGUUGCAGCCAUUAGUAGAACUUCCCAUGUCAACAUUGUCAGCUUGUUGGGGUUUUGUUUUGACGGUUCAGAAAGAGCUCUCAUCUAUCAAUACAUGCCUAAUGGAUCUUUGGAGAAGUUCAUAUAUGAUGUAAAUAACCCACAAAAAAAUCAACACUUGGGGUGGGAAGCAUUGGAUCGAAUUGCACUUGGCAUUGCUCGAGGACUAGAGUAUUUACAUCGCGGUUGUAACACAAGAAUCUUGCAUUUCGAUAUUAAGCCUCACAACAUUCUUCUUGAUGAGAAAUUCUCACCGAAAAUCUCAGAUUUUGGCCUUGCAAAAAUAUGCAAGGGAAAUGAGAGCAUUGUGUCAAUGCUGGGUUUAAGAGGUACUUAUGGAUACAUUGCUCCAGAAGUUUUCUGUAGAAAUUUUGGUGGUGUUUCACACAAAUCCGAUGUGUACAGCUACGGAAUGAUGCUUUCAGUGAUGGUUGGGGGAAAAAAGAAGAUCAGUGUUGAAGUUGAAGACACUAGCGAAAUAUAUUUUCCACACUGGAUUUACAAGCGUCUUGAAUUGGAUCAAGAACUUGGCGUGCAGAACAUCAUGAAUGAGGGAGACAAAGUAAUAGCAAGGAAGUUGAUAAUAGUGAGCUUGUGGUGCAUACAAACCAACCCUUCAAACCGGCCAUCCAUGAAACAAGUGAUAGAAAUGUUGGAAGGGAGUGUUGAGUCCUUGCAGAUACCACCAAAGCCUUACUUGUCUUCUCCUCCAAAAUCCCCUGCACAUUCUUCUACUACUAUAUCGGUGUCGAUAUAAUAGAACAACCGAACACUCGGCAUAUUUCAUACUUACUUGAAUACAAACUGUGUUUCAGGCAAUCUGUAAUGAGCAAAUAAUUGAAAAUGAAGCUAUGAAUCUAUGAUCAACAUUAUUUCAUACUCUUUUUAACAUGAACAUUCGGAAGUGUUGUACUAGACUCAUUCCCAUUCGAUCAUGCCCAUUGCUCAGUAUUCAUUCUUCUCAGUAAUUCAACCAGGGAAAUUAUAGAACUUUCCAUUAAUAAGCUUUUCUGGUUCCUUGUACAAGUGUUGAUUCGAAUUCUAGCUUCAUACGCUACCGCCAAAUUUAAACUCCCAGUAGUCUCGUCAAAAGCCGAAAGCCCAAAGGCCCAAAGUGGAAGACAUAAAAUUCAAAGUAACACUUUGUUUAUUAUUGCAGUUCGAACUUCGAACCCUACCUGCCCCGAAAAAAAGAAGAUAUUUAGUAAAGUCGUCUCAUAUGCAAUUACCCAGGUCUAACCCCUUGUUUAAUGUACACUAAUUAGAUACAUUAUUAUUAUUUUAUUUCAUUAACCAAUCUGUUUAAUAUUGAUCAAAUCCCACUUUGGACUACUUGACCAACGAUACGCCCCAAGGUAAUAAUCCAUUGGUGCUGCUUUUCAUGACAUUAACAAGUUCCCAAUGCAAAGUCCAAGCAACCUUAAGUAAGAUAUGACUAGUUGAUUUGAUUUAUUAUUCUAACUUCUCCCAAUAAAACUGUAAAAGUUGAAAAGCAAUAGCACCCUUUUUAGAACAAGACGAUCUGCCCUUUUGUCACAAAGAAUAUUAUACUAGAUUAAUAAAGAAUCAAGUGAAAUACAAGAGCUACAUUAUGAGCAUAAGAAAAAUACAUGACCUCAGUAAAUAGGUGUAACAAAAGUAAAAUAAAUUUCAGAACAAGCUUGACUAAAUACAAAUCACCAAAGCACAGACCUAAAAAGAAAAGGUUAUUAUCCUAAAAUUCAAACUAACAUCUACCGUGCCGAUAUAAUGUGCAUGUCACUGCUUGAAUUGAAGUCGUCUAAUUGUUAUCUUAUAUUCAUCCAAUUCUCACUUAGUUUAAUUUUAUGAUUAAUUUCAGUUUAUCUUCUUCAGUUUUGGGGUUAACAUCAUUUUUGUCAAAAUUAACGUUUAAAUUAAACGAAAAUUCAGUAAUUAGGCAUGAUUUAUAAAAUUGGAAACUUUAGAGGGUAAAUUUUUAAAAUUAAAAGUAUGAGGACUUAAAUGAUGUUAACCACAAACCUCAGUUCGAGAAAUUUUUUAGUGCUCUUGAAGGACCACGUGGCAAUCUGACAUUGUCCUCCAUUCCAUUUAAAUUUUGACAUGUGGAAUUUCAAAAUGAAAAACAAUUUUCGCGAUUUUGUUAAAGACUAUUUUGGGUUUCUUGUUGAUAUUUUAAAUCCUUAAUUUUAACUCAAUUCUCAUUAUUUUUUUAAAGUAAGUCAAUUCUCAUUAUGUUAUCUUGCCCCAGUAACUGGCUGAUACUAUUUUACCCUUAUGCCUCGUUUGUUUCAUAGAAAGCAAGCAUCAUGAAAGGAAAGUUGUUCAUUUCCAGUGUUUGGGAAAAUAUAAAGAAAUGAAACACUUUAUUGAUUGAUGGAAAAAUAUGGGGGAAAGUGGUUCCUUUCAAAAUCCUAAGGAACCACUUUUCUUUCUUCUUUCCCUGCAUUUGUUACUCACAACAUAAUUUUUUAUUAUAUUAAAUCUUAAUUCAUUAACAACUUUUCAAUAGGCUUUUCUAGUGUUACCAAAUAUCAGAAUGAAAAGUUCUUGUAAAAUUUCAUUCUCGUUUACUUUCUAUUCUCAUGAAAAAGAGAAAGAAACCACUUUCUUUUUCGCGAACCAAACAAGACCAUAUAUUAAUCGUAUUAACAGUCGGAUUAAACUAUAUUUAGAACAUUGACUCAUUUAAUGGACCAUGUGAUGUGCAGGACACGCGUGUCAGGGUACGAUGUUCCCCCGUAUCACGGUCCAUAUUAAAACUAAUGAACUCACGCUUUACUCCUGAUCUCCGCCCCAAACCUCCACGUGUUCCCAUCUCCUCCUAUCACUCUCGCUCCUCAACAACCAAGUCAUUAAUAUCAACGGCAGAGACAUAACGCCAACGUAUCCCCACUCUAGUACACAAAACGACAUAGAUUCCAAGCGUUACAGGCACUGAGACGUCAAAAGGGCAUCACUGUCAAAUCACCCCCACAGUAAAACCAAGUACAACAUCACCUGCUUAACUGCUUUUUCCCCUCGAUCAAUCCACCUCACACCUUCACGCUCCAGCUUUUCCACAUUUAAACCCCUCAACUUCCCAUUAAUUACACAAAUACCCCAACUCUUCUUUUUCACUACCUCCGACUCCUCACUCUCUCACUGCUCUCAUUUGCAGAGACAACCAUGGCAGCCAAGCCCUUCUUCUUCUUCUUCCUCUCUCUCCUACCUUUGCUUAUCUCUGCUUCAAACCCAGACUCCGCGCCGCUCUUAGCCUUCAAGGCCACGUCGGACGCCUCCAACCUUCUCGCCACGUGGAACUCCACCUCCGACUCCUGCAACUUCGCCGGAGUCUCCUGCACCCGCAACCGCGUCUCCCGCCUCGUCCUCGAAGGCCUCGACCUCCGCGGCUCCUUCGCCGCGUUAACCGGGCUGACUCAGCUCCGAGUUCUCAGCCUGAAGCGUAACCGUCUCUCCGGGCCCAUUCCCGACCUCUCUAACCUCACCUCCCUCAAGCUCCUCUUCCUCUCCUACAACGACUUCUCCGGCGUGUUUCCCGCCUCCCUGACGUCACUCUUCCGCCUUUACCGCCUCGAUCUGGCGUACAACAACUUGACCGGUGAUAUUCCCGACGAGGUCAACCAUUUGACUCACCUCCUCACUCUCCGCCUCGAAGCCAACCGAUUCUCCGGCUCGAUUUCCGGCCUCAACCUCCCGAAUCUCCAGGAGUUCAACGUCUCGGCGAACCGUCUCUACGGCGAGAUUCCCAAGUCGUUCUCUAUCUUCUCUGAGUCCGCAUUUGCCGAAAACCCGGGUCUCUGCGGUGCUCCGGUUC
rnacentral:lncRNA from 1 species